rfam:Angiostrongylus costaricensis strain Costa Rica genome assembly, scaffold: ACOC_scaffold0002265
GCCUCGUUAGCUCAGUUGGUAGAGCGUUAGACUUUUAAUCUAACGGUCAGAGGUUCGAGUCCCCAACGGGGCU